GAGUGAGAAUCAGAAGAGGAGGACGGGGAGGACGAGGACGAGGAAGGCCAAGAAAUAAUGUGAGGAUGAAGCAGGUCUACAGGGUGCCAUUUGAACGCAAUUCAGAAAGAGUCAAAGAAUUGCGAUGCAACUAAGUGCAAAGAGUCCUUGAGCUAGAGGUGGCUGCAGUUGAGCACCAGUUCAUCUUCAUUGAUGAGGUUGGAUUCAACCUCACAAAAAGACGAAGGAGGGGAAGGAAUAUCAUCGGCCAGCGUGCCGUUGUUGAAGUCCCUGGCCAGCGCGGAGGAAACAUCACAAUGUGUGCAGCGAUAACCCACCAUAGCGUCAUCCAUCACCAUGCCACCCUUGGCCGCUUCACCACUGCCCAUCUGAUCACAUUCCUGGACACCCUACACAGCACACUCAUUCCACCAGGUCAGGUAGACGGCCCAGAGCAGCUCAGGUACGUUGUCAUUUGGGACAACGUAAGUUUCCACCAGGCUGCUCUAGUUCGUGACUGGUUCACUGCCCACCCACGCUUUUUAGUUGUUUAUCUCCCUCCAUAUUCUCCAUUCCUCGAUCCUGUUGAGGAUUUUUUUUCUGCCUGGAGAUGGAAAGUAUAUGACCGAAAUCCAAAAACACCCCUUCUCCAAGCUAUGGAAGACGCAUGUGGAGAUAUAGCAGUUGAUGCCUUUCAUGGCUGGAUUCGCCAUGCUAGGGGAUAUUUCCCCCGCUGCUUAGCCAGGGAAAACAUUGUUUGUGAUGUGGAUGAGGUGCUGUGGCCAGACCGAAACAGUAGAGAGGAUGCAGCAUAGUUAUUUUUUUAUUUAUUUUUACUGUAACUGUAUACAUUAAAUUCUUAUGUUUAGUAUGUAGACAACUGUAUAUGCAACUUUGUGUUGGUUGGGAAUGCACAAUGUGUACAUUGUUUUUGUGGGAAAAAUAAAAUAUAUUUGUUACCAUGUAUUUGUGAGCUCUGAGUAUAAGAACGAUAUUCUCAAAUAUUUUACAACACACUUAUGUAUGUACGGUCCUAAGUCAUUAUGAUGAAUAGAGAAGAAGUGUUUUCCAUUCAUCAUAGUGUUUUACACUGAGUGUGUCUAUUCAUGUGAUGGUUUGUGUGCCUCAUUUGAAAACAAAAUACCAUUUUGAGAAGAAAUAACCUUGUUUUGACCGUAAAGUUUCAUUUUGCGGGAGAAAUGAGGGGUUGUUCCCAUUGUGUAUGUGUUUUUUGAUUUGUGUGUAGAGUUCUGAGAGUAUGAGGCAUGAUUUCAGAAAAUAUGUGUAAACAAUCGAGAAGAGCCAAGAACUUGCAUCACUGAGAGUGAAU